GACGUAGGGGGCGAGCGUUGUCCGGAUUUAUUGGGCGUAAAGCGCGCGUAGGCGGCUCGUUAAGUCGGGGGUGAAAACCCGGAGCUCAACUCCGGGCCUGCCUCCGAUACUGGCGGGCUGGAGGCAGGUAGGGGAGAGUGGAAUUCCUGGUGUAGCGGUGAAAUGCGCAGAUAUCAGGAGGAACACCGGUGGCGAAGGCGGCUCUCUGGACCUGUCCUGACGCUCAGGCGCGAAAGCUAGGGGAGCAAACAGG
rnacentral:rRNA from 2 species